UACGAAGGGUGCAAACGUUGCUCGGAAUUAUUGGGCGUAAAGCGCACGUAGGCGGCUUAGCAAGUCGGAUGUGAAAUCCCUCGGCUCAACCAAGGAAGUGCAUCCGAAACUGCUGAGCUUGAGUACUUAAGAGGAUCGCGGAAUUCCCGGUGUAGAGGUGAAAUGCGUAGAUAUCAAGAGGAACACCAGUGGCGAAGGCGAGUCCCUGGACAACACCUGACACUGAGGCACGAAAGCCGGGGGAGCAAACAGG
rnacentral:rRNA from 1 species